rnacentral:rRNA from 1 species
CCAGACUCCUACGGGAGGCAGCAGUGAGGAAUAUUGGUCAAUGGCCGCAGGGCUGAACCAGCCAAGUCGCGUGAGGGAUGACGGUCCUAUGGAUUGUAAACCUCUUUUGUCAGGGAGCAAAGGGCGCCACGUGUGGCGUUUUGCGAGUACCUGAAGAAAAAGCAUCGGCUAACUCCGUGCCAGCAGCCGCGGUAAUACGGAGGAUGCGAGCGUUAUCCGGAUUUAUUGGGUUUAAAGGGUGCGUAGGCGGGCUGUAAAGUCAGCGGUAAAAUGUCGGGGCUCAACCCCGGCCUGCCGUUGAAACUGGCGGCCUCGAGUGGGCGAGAAGUAUGCGGAAUGCGUGGUGUAGCGGUGAAAUGCAUAGAUAUCGCGCAGAACUCCGAUUGCGAAGGCAGCAUGCCGGCUCCACACUGACGCUGAGGCACGAAAGCGUGGGUAUCGAACAGGAUUAGAUACCCCCGUAGC